GGGUCAGAGAUUUACGAGAGUGCGCCUCAC
rnacentral:misc_RNA from 1 species